ncrna:unclassified sequences Glutamine riboswitch
UACGUUCAUCAUGUUUAAGCAUGACGGAAGUAGGCGAAAGCUGAAGGAACGCAUG